rnacentral:rRNA from 1 species
CAUGCAAGUCGAGCGAACGGACGAGAAGCUUGCUUCUCUGAUGUUAGCGGCGGACGGGUGAGUAACACGUGGAUAACCUACCUAUAAGACUGGGAUAACUUCGGGAAACCGGAGCUAAUACCGGAUAAUAUUUUGAACCGCAUGGUUCAAAAGUGAAAGACGGUCUUGCUGUCACUUAUAGAUGGAUCCGCGCUGCAUUAGCUAGUUGGUAAGGUAACGGCUUACCAAGGCAACGAUGCAUAGCCGACCUGAGAGGGUGAUCGGCCACACUGGAACUGAGACACGGUCCAGACUCCUACGGGAGGCAGCAGUAGGGAAUCUUCCGCAAUGGGCGAAAGCCUGACGGAGCAACGCCGCGUGAGUGAUGAAGGUCUUCGGAUCGUAAAACUCUGUUAUUAGGGAAGAACAUAUGUGUAAGUAACUGUGCACAUCUUGACGGUACCUAAUCAGAAAGCCACGGCUAACUACGUGCCAGCAGCCGCGGUAAUACGUAGGUGGCAAGCGUUAUCCGGAAUUAUUGGGCGUAAAGCGCGCGUAGGCGGUUUUUUAAGUCUGAUGUGAAAGCCCACGGCUCAACCGUGGAGGGUCAUUGGAAACUGGAAAACUUGAGUGCAGAAGAGGAAAGUGGAAUUCCAUGUGUAGCGGUGAAAUGCGCAGAGAUAUGGAGGAACACCAGUGGCGAAGGCGACUUUCUGGUCUGUAACUGACGCUGAUGUGCGAAAGCGUGGGGAUCAAAACAGAUUAGAUACCCCUGGUAUCCACGCCGUG